rnacentral:rRNA from 1 species
GAAGGAUCCAAGCGUUAUCCGGAUUUAUUGGGUUUAAAGGGUGCGUAGGCGGAUUGAUAAGUCAGUGGUGAAAGCCUGCAGCUUAACUGCAGAACUGCCAUUGAUACUGUCAAUCUUGAAUAUGUUUGAUGUGGGCGGAAUAUGACAUGUAGCGGUGAAAUGCUUAGAUAUGUCAUAGAACAUCGAUUGCGAAGGCAGCUCACAAAGCCAUUAUUGACGCUGAGGCACGAAAGCGUGGGGAUCAAACAGGAUUAGAUACCCUGGUAGUCCACGCUGUAAACUUUGGUCACUCGCUGUUGGCGAUACACUGUCAGCGGCUAAGCGAAAGCGUUAAGUGAUCCACCUGGGGAGUACGAUCGCAAGAUUG